rfam:Habropoda laboriosa contig13586, whole genome shotgun sequence.
UACCUCGCUUUAAACAGCAGUACUUUAGCUUUUCCUUGCUAAAAUCUGUUAAACUUCGUGAAAGAUGUAAAAUAGAAUGAAAACGAUCAUAAUAACGCUUAGAAAAGCAGAUUUGCAGUGGAUCAUGAACUUGUGCUGUGGCAAUUUUAGAGGUAAUACAUGCAAACCAGAGUUUCUUCCAGAGAUGGAAGGAACGCUUUUAUUAGAUCAAAGCCAAUCGGUGGCGGGUGGCUCGCCGCUCGUCCAUCGUUUGCUUUGGUGACUCUGAAUAACUUUGUGCUGAUAGCACCGGUCUUUUGUACCGGCGACGCAUCUUUCAAAUGUCUCCCUUAUCAACUGUCGAUGGUAGGUUUUGCGCCUACCAUUGUUGUAACGGGUAACGGGGAAUCAGGGUUCGAUUCCGGAGAGGGAGCCUGAGAAACGGCUACUACAUCCAAGGAAGGCAGCAGGCGCGCAGAUUACCCACUCCCGGCACAGGGAGGUAGUGAUGAAAAAUAACGAUACGGGACUCAUCCGGUGCCCCGUAAUCGGAAUGAGCACAUUUUAAAUCCUUUAACGAGGACCAAUUGGAGGGCAAGUCUGGUGUCAGCAGCCGCGGUAAUUCCAGCUCCAAUAGCGUAUAUUAAAGUUGUUGCGGUUAAAAAGCUCAUAGUUGAAUCUGUGUGUCACAGUGUCGGUCCACCGCUCGCGGUGUCUAAUUGGCAUUAUGUGGUACGUCCUACCGGUGGACUCAGCUCUUCACGGGGCGGUCCUACCAGUUUCCCAUCGCGGUGCUCUUGACUAAGUGUCGAGGUGGGCCGGUACGUUUACUUUGAACAAAUUAGAGUGCUUAAAGCAGUUUACCUUCGCCUGAAUAUUCUGUGCAUGGAAUAAUAAAGUAUGACCUCGGUUCUAUUUUGUUGAUUUUCGGAACAUGUAAUGAUGUAAUGAUGUAAUGAUUAAUAGGGACAGAUAGGGGCAUUCGUAUUGCGACGUUACAGGUGAAAUUCUUGGAUCGUCGCAAGACGGACAGAAGCGAAAGCAUUUGCCAAAAAUGUUUUCAUUAAUCAAGAACGAAAGUUAGAGGUUCGAAGGCGAUCAGAUACCGCCCUAGUUCUAAUCAUAAACGAUGCCAGCUAGCGAUCCGCCGAAGUUCCUCCGAUGACUCGACGAGCAGCUUGCGGGAAACCAAAGCUUUUAGGUUCCGGGGGAAGUAUGGUUGCGAAGCUGAAACUUAAAGGAAUUGACGGAAGGGCACCACCAGGAGUGGAGCCUGCGGCUUAAUUUGACUCAACACGGGAAACCUCACUAGGCCCAGACACUGGAAGGAUUGACAGAUUGAUAGCUCUUUCUUGAUUCGGUGGGUGGUGCCGUUCCUGCAUGGCCGUUCGUGGUUUGAAGAGCGAUUUGUCUGGUUAAUUCCGAUAACGAACGAGACUCUAGCCUGUUAAAUAGACGUAUCUUGUGAUAUCUCGAAGGCCCCCGACUUCGGUCGGUGGGUUUUUACUAUCAAUAUACAAACAAAUCUUCUUAGAGGGACAGGCGGCUUCUAGCCGCACGAAAUUGAGCAGUAACAGGUCUGUGAUGCCUUUAGAUGUCCUGGGCCACACGCGCGCUACACUGCAGGAAUCAGCGUGUUUUCCCUGGCCGAAAGACCCGGGUAACCCGUUGAACCUCCUUCGUGCUAGGGAUUGGGGCUUGCAAUUAUUCCCCAUGGACGAGGAAUUCCCAGUAAGCGUGAGUCAUAAGCUUGCGUUGAUUACGUCCCUGCUCUUUGUACACACCGCUCGUCGCUACUACCGAUUGAAUGAUUUAGUGAGGUCUUCGGAUUGGUGCGCGGCUAAUGUUUCGGCAUUGCCGAUGUUACCAGGAAGAUGAUCAAACUUGAUCACUUAGAGGAAGUAAAAGUCGUAACAAGGUUUCCGUAAGUGAACCGGCGGAAGGAUCAUUA